rnacentral:lncRNA from 1 species
AGUGGCAGCGCGGACAGCCCCGGACGGAAGGGGUCUUGGCGGCGCUCUUUGGCCAGUAGAAAUAGGCUCUGCGCCCGAGUUUUGUUUGGGGUUUCCUUUUCCUCUACGGCGGGUCGUUUUGUUUUUCCCAGGUCCUAGGGAUGUGGUGGGGGUAGAAAGCGAGGCCCCGGGGCUCGGGGCAGAGCUCAGGGUCUGAGGAAGGGUUUAACUACCGUUGUAAUGAAACCGCUUGAUUUGCGUUCUGUGGGCUCGGGCAGUGGGGUGCGAUUUGAUUCCAUUUCUCCCAGCAGAAAUGAGAUUUGCUGCCUGGGCAUCUUGCUGGAGCCGGAGAGCCGUUCUGGAAAACUCUCCCGAAUACGUCAUGGUUGUUGCUCACGCUGUGCGCGGUCCCGUCGGCACAGAAUGCGUUUUUGCUUUUGAGAGCUGUAAAUCAAACAGCCGCGCUGGAAACUAUUUCUCAGCUCCAGAGGCGGUCGCCUGCAGAGGCAAAACUCAGCUUGCCUGACAGACGUGCCACGAGACGUUGGCUGAAAAUUAUUUUGAUCAUACCAACUAACUUGUCUUUUUUAGGCAAAUGUUGUUUGUGUGCGCAUCCGGUUUUCAUUCGUCUCUGAUGUCCAACCCCGCAAAAAAAGAGUGGGGGAGGGGGAGGAAAGGAAAAAACCUCUUACUGUAUCAAAAGUGGUCGUUGUUUAGGACUCACCCUCCCUUCAGUGGAUAUGGGUGAAAAAUUAAAGACAUGUUCCGUGGAUGAAUUAGAGAUCGGGGAAAUGGAAAAGGUCGUGGUUGUCUCAGUUUAGCGGGUGGGGAUAUCUUUUGUUGGUUUAUUUGAACUGCGUAGGUGCAAAUUCGGUGGAUUGUGGAUAUCCAAAGGUGAAUUCUGGAUAUCCAAAGGUGAAUUCUGGAGCUGCUUGGGUGUGGGUGUUGCCAUGGCGACAGGAGGAGGUAGCUGGUGAAUUGCAGGGUCAAUAAACCUGGCAGGGCCAGGCCCCUUAAGUGUAUGGAGCAUUAGUAGUACGUUACUACCGUGGUUUAUCUAUCCUGGCUUUCACCAUUCCAUCCCCGGCCAAGAUUCCUGGAUCGAUCAAUGCAGGCACACUCGGGCAUGUUGAUUUUCUGUAUUGAUUAAUACAGGUAUACUCACUACCGUGUGUAGAUUUUCUGAUUAGAUGCUGCAUCUGGGAGCAUAGUUUUUGUACCAUUUGCCAUACAUUUUGAUUUGCAGAUUAUUGCUGUUCUUGCUUAAUCUUACUGGUUUUGGACAUUUAUGUAUUGGCUUUUUUGCCUUUUCCCUUAGGUCAGCCGACACCUUACCUUAGGGUACCUUGUGCUUAAAAUUAACACUUCAUAUUAUUGUAAAUCAGUGUAAUGUCAAAGCACUGAGUUCCUGGGCAUGGCAAUAGAAAGAAACUUGCAGCUUUGCAUAAUCUCCGUGUAGCAACAGCCACUCUUGUCUCUGUACAGAGCACACAGUGUCUCAGUGUUCUUUGACAGCUGCAGUGCUAGGAGCCGGCCACUUUGCUUGCUGGGUGAGGUAAAGCGGAGUAAUAAAUCUUGCAGAGACUCGGUUUCUGUGAUAUGAAGAGAAUCCAAGCUACCUCAUGGAGUUCUUGUGAGGAUUGCAUGAUAUGUGAAUGUGCCAGAACUGUAUAAAUUGUAGAACUGUUGACAUAAUGAUAUGCAGUUACUAAUGGAUUUGUUGAGUCUGACCUUAUGAGAGGAAGAUUUUCCUUCAGGAUUUUCCAUCUCAUGGGAAGAACAGAUGGACAAAACUCAGAUCUAAAAGAAACCUUAAAUAGCAUAGUUUUGUAAUGUAGAUAGUAUUAUUAUAGCCUUAUUAGCAUACAGUGCCAGAUUUGAGGGGCGCUUAGGAUGAUGAGCUCAUCGUAGUUUGCUUGGAUUUUCCUGGUUUUAGCAUUGAAUGUGUCCUGGAAAACCCCUCUGUCCCAGGCAAACCAGGACAGUUGGUCACCCCUGGACUCUUUUCAAUGCUGAGAGAUGGGAGGAGGAACAGAAUGAGAAAUGCAGAUUCCUACUGUAUAGAGAUGAUUCAGGUUCCCUGCAGCUGAAGGCGACUGGACAUAAGAAAUCAGAUGUCCUCUUAUGAAAUAAGGGUGGGCUGCCACCUGAAACUCGACACAUCCAAAGUCAAACUGAGAACUUUUUCCAUUUUUACUACUCUUCCUUCCCUCAGUCCCCACACAUUGUUGGGUUUUUUUUUUUAAUUUUUUUUUAUUUUUAAUGUUUUAAAGUUUUCCUAUUUAAUUGUAGUCUUUGUUUCUGGUAAAGACAUUACCAGACUUUUAGGCCCUUAGAGUGAAGAAAUUAUUUUUUAUGCCAUGGAUCCCUUUGCCAAUUUGAUGAAGUCCGGUGCCGUUGGUGUGUUGCCUGUAUUCGUAAUUGAAGGCAUGCUACAUUUAACUUAGAGGUUAAUGAAAAUAAAGAUGUUCUAUUUUUCUGUCCAAGUUUAUGGACCCCUCCUAAGUUCUCUCCGUAGACUCCAGGUUGAGAACACCUGCUUCCUCUCCAUCACCCCCCAUUGAAGUUCUCUUUCCACUCUGUCUCCUUUCACAUCUUGCCUCUUUGCAUUCUCACUGCCACCACUGUAGUUCAAGAUACCGUCACUGUCUUCCUGACUAUUGUGAAAGUCUCUAACUAUUGGUCUUUGCCUUAGUCCAUUCCUGAUACUGUAACAAAAUACCACAGGCUGGGUAAUUUAUAAACAACAGAAAUUUAUUUCUCACAGCUGUGGAGGCUGGGAAGUUGAAGAUCAAGGCACUGGUAUAUUUGGUGUCUGGUGAGGGCUUGGUCUCUGCUUCCAGGAUGGCACCUUGCUGCAGCAUCCUCACGUGGCAGAAGGCAGACGGGUGAAAGGGGAUAAAUGCUGUGUUCUCACGUGAGUGAAGAGCUGGAAGGGCCAAGCAGCUCUCUGAUGCCUCUCUUAUAGGGCCAUUAGUCCCACUCACGAAGGUGGAGCCUUUAUGACUUAAUCACUUCCCCAAAAGCCCUAGUUCCUAAUACCAUCACCUUGGGGUUUAAGUUCUAACAUAUGAAUUUUGGAAGGACACAUACAUGCAAACUAAUGGUCUCAUCCCUAGUUCCAUUGUAUGCCCAGCUGAUAGUCAUUUUCCUAAAACAUACAUCUUACUAUGUCAUUUCCCUGCUCAAAAGCCUCAGUAGCUUCCCAUGGCCUCAAAAUUGAGUCCAAAUGCAUUUAGGAGCUCCUUCAGGGCCCUCCAUAAUCUGCCUUUUCAGUCCUAACAACCUGCCACCGAAAUUUUAGUCAUACAAAUUGUUCUUCAGUUGUGCAUUUCUCUCUCCACCUUUAUUCAUGUCGCUCCCUUGGCCUAGAUUGCCGAUUUCCAUCUUUUCUGCCCAACACAGUUCUAAUAUCCUUAAAGGUUUACUUCAAAUGUGAAGGCAACUGAAAUAAACUCUUCCUCCACUGGGCUCCCUCAGCACUUUAUUUCACUGUCUUCUGUUACCACGUUCUACUUUCAUAAUGGGUAUUUGUACCAAUUGUGAGUGUGACCCUGGGCCAUGAGUAUGUAAAAAUGUAACAAACGUGAACCUUGGUUUUUAAAGGACUUAUAUUUUAGGUUGGGAGAUAAUGUGAACCUAAAUAACACUUUUUCAAGAUAGGAGAAAAUAACAAGUAUUUCAGGAGUCCAGAGAGAGUUUGCUCUGCUAGAGGGAUCAGAGCCUUGUGGGGGAAGGUGGCAUCUUCAGCACCCCAUAUGGAUGUACAUAGAGAAGGCAUUCCACACACACAACACCAGGAAAAAAGUCAAAGAGGCUGAAAGAGCAGGGUGUGUUGGGGAAGGGGAAGAAGUUUAGUCUGUUAUUAACGAGCAUCAUGAACGACCAAGCUGGUAUCAAGUUUGUUAAGGCCAGAUAGGGAAUGGCUACACAUUCCAGGCAAGAAGAUAAGACUAUCCUGUAUGCAUGGAAUCCACUGAAGAGUUUUGAAAAGAAACUGACAAAACUCAAAGGUGAUUUAAGAAUAUCAAAUGUGUUAGCAAGCAAUGAGUUGAAAAAGGGGGAAAAAAUAAAAGAAUACCAAAUAUGGCCAGGUGCCACAGCUCACGCCUGUCUGUAAUGCCAGUACUUUGGGAGGUGGAGGUGGGUGGAUUGCUU